UGAGUUUGAUCCCCCUGGCUCAGAUUGAACGCUGGCGGCAGGCCUAACACAUGCAAGUCGAGCGGAUGAGUGGAGCUUGCUCCAUGAUUCAGCGGCGGACGGGUGAGUAAUGCCUAGGAAUCUGCCUGGUAGUGGGGGACAACGUUUCGAAAGGAACGCUAAUACCGCAUACGUCCUACGGGAGAAAGUGGGGGAUCUUCGGACCUCACGCUAUCAGAUGAGCCUAGGUCGGAUUAGCUAGUUGGUGAGGUAAAGGCUCACCAAGGCGACGAUCCGUAACUGGUCUGAGAGGAUGAUCAGUCACACUGGAACUGAGACACGGUCCAGACUCCUACGGGAGGCAGCAGUGGGGAAUAUUGGACAAUGGGCGAAAGCCUGAUCCAGCCAUGCCGCGUGUGUGAAGAAGGUCUUCGGAUUGUAAAGCACUUUAAGUUGGGAGGAAGGGCAGUAAGUUAAUACCUUGCUGUUU
rnacentral:rRNA from 2 species